GUGCACGCUGGCGGUAGGCCUAACACCUGCCAGUCGAACGGCAGCACCGUAAGAGCUUGCUCUUACGGGUGGCGAGUGGCGGACGGGUGAGGAAUACAUCGGAAUCUACUUUUUCGUGGGGGAUAACGUAGGGAAACUUACGCUAAUACCGCAUACGACCUACGGGUGAAAGCAGGGGAUCUUCGGACCUUGCGCGAUUGAAUGAGCCGAUGUCGGAUUAGCUAGUUGGCGGGGUAAAGGCCCACCAAGGCGACGAUCCGUAGCUGGUCUGAGAGGAUGAUCAGCCACACUGGAACUGAGACACAGUCCAGACUCCUACGGGAGGCAGCAGUGGGGAAUAUUGGACAAUGGGCGCAAGCCUGAUCCAGCCAUACCGCGUGGGUGAAGAAGGCCUUCGGGUUGUAAAGCCCUUUUGUUGGGAAAGAAAAGCAGCAGGUUAAUACCCCGCUGUUCUGACGGUACCCAAAGAAUAAGCACCGGCUAACUUCGUG
rnacentral:rRNA from 1 species